CACAAAGGGAGAAAGGCAAUAAUCAAACAAAUUACUUUCAGAUAGACAUCAGUGCUAGGAGGAGGUCAGCACAAGGUGAUGUAAGAGAGAGUGACAGGUGGGGUGAGGGCUACACUUGAUAAGGGGGUCAGUGAAGCCUCUCUGAGGAGGUGACAUUGAGCUGAGACCCAAACAAUGAGAAGGAACUAGCCAUAGAAAGAUCUGGGCAAGGAGACUUCUAGACGGGGGAGCAGAAAAUGUAAAGGAUGAGCUUCAGAUGUUGACGGAUGUAGGGAGGGUUGAUGUGUUUGGAGUUUAGUGCAGGUGAAUAAAGAGGAACAUAAUGAGAUUGGAAAGUAGGUAGGAGUCAGUUCAUGCCAGGCCUUGCAGAUCAUGGUAAGACAUUUGGAUUUUAUUCUGAGGUUACUGGGAAGCCAUUAGAGAGUUUUAAAUGGGACAUAACAUAGUACGUGGGGUAGCUAGCCUUCAAAACAUCCUCCAGUGAUUCUUGCGUCCUGGUAUUUACACCCUCGUGUAGCCCCUCUCACAUUGACUAGGGCUGACCCGAUAGGAUGCUGCAAAUGUGAUGGUAUAUAACUUUCAAGGAAGGUCAUAAAAGACAUUGUGACUCUGCCUUGGGCUCCCGAAUGUCUGCCUCUGGGGAAGCCAGCCGCCAUGUUGUGAAGAUACUCAAGCAGCCCUAUGGUCUGAAAGGAGGAUGCAAGCAGUCCCUCCACAUCGCAGUUUUGCUUUCUGCGGUUUCAGUUACCUGCGGUCAACCACCAUCUAAAAAUAGAUUCCAGAGAAGGGGAAUAUGAUUGGCUCAUCUCAUCUGUCUGUACCAAGCCAUGCCAUAGAUUACCAAGUGGCCUAUAAACUGGAAGCUUCAGGGAGAUGUGUCUGCCUACCUUAGUCAGUUAGAAGUCCCAUGGCCUCUCAAGACACUGUGGUUGACAAGUCUAGUAUGAUAGGAUCACAUCUUAUCGGAGGAGUGAUUCUAAAAUCUCUAUGUAAGACUUUAUCCCAUACAGUCAGAGUUACUCAUGAAAAUCCCUCAAAUUACCCAUACAUUUAUUUGUUUACUUAUUUUUUUUUAUUUUUAUUGUU